GACGAACGCUGGCGGCGUGCCUAACACACGCAAGUCGAGCGAAUGAAGUUCCUUCGGGAACGGAUUUAGCGGCGGACGGGUGAGUAACACGUGGGCAACCUGCCUCAUAGAGGGGAAUAGCCUUCCGAAAGGGAGAUUAAUACCGCAUAAGAUUGUAGUACCGCAUGGUACAGCAAUUAAAGGAGCAAUCCGCUAUGAGAUGGGCCCGCGGCGCAUUAGCUAGUUGGUGAGGUAACGGCUCACCAAGGCGACGAUGCGUAGCCGACCUGAGAGGGUGAUCGGCCACAUUGGGACUGAGACAUGGCCCAGACUCCUACGGGAGGCAGCAGUGGGGAAUAUUGCACAAUGGGGGAAACCCUGAUGCAGCAACGCCGCGUGAGUGAUGACGGCCUUCGGGUUGUAAAGCUCUGUCUUCAGGGACGAUAAUGACGGUACCUGAGGAGGAAGCCACGGCUAACUACGUGCCAGCCGCCGCAGUAACAC
rnacentral:rRNA from 1 species